GGAGAUGUAUCGAUUGAUGCAUGUGCCCCUUCCCCCUCCACCCAGCAGGCAGCUAAUCAUCCACUGCAUCCUGUGGUUUGCCUGGGCUUCCUACCCCAGGAAGGGCCUUCGGCUUCAGCACAGCAGGUUUGCUGUAAAGUCAACUGUGAUCAGCUUUAUGAUAUUGAAUUGGACUGACUGAACAAACAGAAGGACAUGCCUGAACUGCAAAGUGACUUGGAGAGUUUAAAACUGUGGUGGCUUCAGUCAAGCAGAGGAGUUUCAGUGUUAGUAAAAAUAGAUCCUGAUACCCAGGGAAAAGCAAUGACAGCAAGACUUACAAAACGAAGCAGAAGGGACCCAAAAAAGGCCAUGUCAUAUUAUUUUCCCUCUUGUCUCAUUAAUACAAUCUCAAUAUUAAUUUUCCAUUUGACCAGCACUUCAGUUGUCACAAGAGAGGUGUGAGAUUGGUAUUGGGAGGUUGGGAAGGCCAACAGUUGAUAGCAGUAUCCCCGUUGGCCACAUUAAAUUCUGGAGAAUCACUGACUUGGAAUAUUUGUAUUUACUGCUUCAAGUACAUAAAGGCAAUUAUGAG